AUCUAUCUGAUGAGUCCCGAAUGGGACGAAACUCAUAUCCUAGAU
rfam:Schistosoma curassoni strain Dakar, Senegal genome assembly, scaffold: SCTD_contig0001752